rnacentral:sRNA from 1 species
GCCAGGUGUGGUGGCGCACUUCUGUAAUCCCAGCUACUUGGGAGGCUAAGGCAGGAGGAUCACAAGUUUGAGGCUAACCUGGGACAUUUUUGAGACUCUGUCUCAA